CAAGAAACGAGGCUGCGUGCGCUCAUCCGCCCAGCCCCGCUCCUUACCUUGCCUACUGCACCAUUUGUUGCUUCCUGGCGGCGGACUGCCUGCCGCCAGGGACAUUGGUACAACCCUGUAUAAGUAUUGAAGUCCUGAAAUACGCGAAAUCGUA
rnacentral:misc_RNA from 1 species